GUGCGUGUUUCCUGGUGGCGAGCGGCGGAGGGUGAGUAAUGCAGGAAAUGUGGGUGGGAGGGGGGGAUAACCUGGGGAGACCCAGGCUAAUACCGCAUACGUCCUACGGGAGAAAGCAGGGGAUCUUCGGACCUUGCGCUAUCGGAUGAGUCUAUGUCGGAUUAGCUUGUUGGUGAGGUAAUGGCUCACCAAGGCGACGAUCCGUAGCUGGUCUGAGAGGAUGAUCAGCCACAUCGGGACUGAGACACGGCCCGAACUCCUACGGGAGGCAGCAGUGGGGAAUAUUGGACAAUGGGCGAAAGCCUGAUCCAGCCAUGCCGCGUGUGUGAAGAAGGCCUUCGGGUUGUAAAGCACUUUCAGUGGGGAAGAAAGCCUUGGGGCUAAUACCCUCGAGGAAGGACAUCACCCACAGAAGAAGCACCGGCUAACUCCGUGCCAGCAGCCGCGGUAAUACGGAGGGUGCGAGCGUUAAUCGGAAUUACUGGGCGUAAAGCGCGCGUAGGCGGUCUGAUAAGCCGGUUGUGAAAGCCCCGGGCUCAACCUGGGAACGGCAUCCGGAACUGUCAGGCUAGAGUGCAGGAGAGGAAGGUAGAAUUCCCGGUGUAGCGGUGAAAUGCGUAGAGAUCGGGAGGAAUACCAGUGGCGAAGGCGGCCUUCUGGACUGACACUGACGCUGAGGUGCGAAAGCGUGGGUAGCAAACAGGAUUAGAUACCCUGGUAGUCCACGCCGUAAACGAUGUCGACUAGCCGUUGGGCUCCUUGAGAGCUUUGUGGCGCAGUUAACGCGAUAAGUCGACCGCCUGGGGAGUACGGCCGCAAGGUUAAAACUCAAAUGAAUUGACGGGGGCCCGCACAAGCGGUGGAGCAUGUGGUUUAAUUC
rnacentral:rRNA from 1 species